rnacentral:rRNA from 1 species
CCGGGACCGAAUACGAGUAGGGAAGUCCGCGAUGUUCCGAGGCGAGAAAAGGCGAAGGUAGGGUGCCCGUACCGCAAACCGACACAGGUAGAUGAGGAGAGAAUCCUAAGGCCAACGGGAGAAGGGUUGUUAAGGAACUCGGCAAAAUGACCCCGUAACUUCGGGAUAAGGGGAGCCUGUCUAUGGCAGGCCGCAGAGAAUAGGCCCAAGCGACUGUUUACCAAAAACACAGGUCUAUGCUAAAUCGAAAGAUGACGUAUAUGGGCUGACGCCUGCCCGGUGCUGGAAGGUUAAGAGGAGAUGUCAGGCAACGAAGCAUUGAAUCGAAGCCCCAGUAAACGGCGGCCGUAACUAUAACGGUCCUAAGGUAGCGAAAUUCCUUGUCAGGUAAGUUCUGACCCGCACGAAUGGCGUAACGAUUUGGGCGCUGUCUCAACAGCCCACCCGGCGAAAUUGUUGUACUGGUGAAGAAGCCAGUUACCCGCAACUAGACGGAAAGACCCCAUGGAGCUUUACUGCAGCUUAAUACUGGAAUUCGGUAAUUCAUGUACAGGAUAGGUGGGAGACUGAGAACUAACGUCGUCAGGCGCUAGGGAGUCGCCCUUGGGAUACCACUCUUGAAUUGCUGGGUUUCUAACCUGCGGCCGUGAAUCCGGUCGGGGGACACUGUUAGGCAGACAGUUUGACUGGGGCGGUCGCCUCCUAAAAGGUAACGGAGGCGCUCAAAGGUUGGCUCAGCACGGACGGAAAUCGUGCAAUGAGUGUAAACGUAUAAGCCAGCCUAACUGCGAGAGUGACGGCUCGAGCAGUAACGAAAGUUGGAGUUAGUGAUCCGGUGGUAUGUGAGUGGAAAUUCCAUCGCUCAACGGAUAAAAGCUACCCUGGGGAUAACAGGCUGAUCUCCCCCAAGCGUCCACAGCGACGGGGAGGUUUGGCACCCCGAUGUCGGCUCGUCACAUCCUGGGGCUGUACUCGGUCCCAAGGGUUCGGCUGUUCGCCGAUUAAAGUGGCACGCGAGCUGGGUUCAGAACGUCGUGAGACAGUUCGGUCCCUAUCUGUUGCGGGCGUAAGAGAUUUGAAGGGGGCUGUCCUUAGUACGAGAGGACCGGGAUGGACGCACCUCUGGUGCACCUGUUGUCGUGCCAACGGCAUAGCAGGGUAGCUACGUGCGGACGAGAUAAACGCUGAAAGCAUCUAAGCGUGAAACUUUCCCUAAGAUAAGAUCUCUCAUCCUUCAUGGAGUAAGGCACGAUGUAGACUAUAUCGUAGAUAGGCCGGAGGUGGAAGUGCAGUAAUGUAUGGAGCUGACCGGUACUAAUAAGCCGAGGGCUUGACCAA